GACGAACGCUGGCGGCGUGCUUAACACAUGCAAGUCGAACGGAAAGGCCCUGCUUUUGUGGGGUGCUCGAGUGGCGAACGGGUGAGUAACACGUGAGUAACCUGCCCUUGACUUUGGGAUAACUUCAGGAAACUGGGGCUAAUACCGGAUAGGAGCUCCUGCUGCAUGGUGGGGGUUGGAAAGUUUCGGCGGUUGGGGAUGGACUCGCGGCUUAUCAGCUUGUUGGUGGGGUAGUGGCUUACCAAGGCUUUGACGGGUAGCCGGCCUGAGAGGGUGACCGGCGACAUGGGGACUGAGAGACGGACCAGAAGCGUACGGGAGGCAGCAGUGGGGAAUAUGGCACAAUGGGCGGAAGCCAGAUACAGCAACGCCGCGAGCGGGAUGAAGGCCUUCGGGUGGUAAACCGAUGUCGACGGUGACGAAGAGAGAGUGACGGUAAUGGGUAAAGAAGCACCGGCUAACUACGUG
rnacentral:rRNA from 1 species